rnacentral:rRNA from 1 species
UACGUAGGGACCAAGCGUUGUUCGGAUUUACUGGGCGUAAAGGGCGCGUAGGCGGCGUGGUAAGUCACUUGUGAAAUCUCUGAGCUUAACUCAGAACGGCCAAGUGAUACUGCUGUGCUAGAGUGCAGAAGGGGCAAUCGGAAUUCUUGGUGUAGCGGUGAAAUGCGUAGAUAUCAAGAGGAACACCUGAGGUGAAGACGGGUUGCUGGGCUGACACUGACGCUGAGGCGAGAAAGCCAGGGGAGCAAACGGG